UGGAGGAGGUUAUCUAUACGAAAUUAAAACCUAGUAUAAAGCCUUCAUUGCACAGCAGAGUUCUCUAAUCUCAGACCAUACUUAUUGCUUUGUAACCUCUCUUCUUGAAAUGUUUCGUGUUGUGUUGCUGUUGGCUGUUUUGGCGACAAUAUCUGCCGCUCCAAAUAAAAGACUUCUCAUCGAAGGAAUGACUGGGAACUGUGUCAUUGGCGACAGAUGCAAUGGCUGUAGCGGGAUAGUAGUGGGCGACAUAAAAAUCUGUUGCAACAUAUGCCAUGGUAGAGUGAACCUGGUUUUCCAAGGUGAAAGUGCUCAUUGUACCUGCUGAGAUGGGCGAUAUUAUAAUAAAAUAAUGUGAACUGAAAUACC